rnacentral:rRNA from 1 species
UGUAAGCGUAUACCAAAGUUGUUGCAGUUAAAACGCUCGUAGUCGGAAUUUGGCAGUUCCGGAUGUGCGCACGUCGUGUGCGCACUUCGCGGGGAUUGCUUUUGUGGUCUUGCGUAGGAUGAGGCACUUUUAUUAGUGAACGUCCUCACGCAACCACUUUUUACUGUGAGAAAAUCAGAGUGCUCAAAGCAGGCAUUUGCCGUGAAUGUAUUAGCAUGGAAUAAUAGAAUAGGACUUGGUUCUAUUUUGUUGGUUUGUUGGGACUGAGUAAUGAUUAAGAGGGACAGUCGGGGGCAUUUGUAUUUCGGUGCUAGAGGUGAAAUUCUUAGAUUACCGAAAGACAAACUGCUGCGAAAGCGUCUGCCAAGGAUGUUUUCAUUGA